CCCUUAGAUGUCCUGGGCCGCACGCGUGCUACACUGACGCCUACAGCGAGUACUUCCCAGCCCCGAGAGGUGGCUGGUAAUCAGCAAUAGGCGUCGUGAUGGGGAUAGAUCUUUGGAAUUAUGGAUCUUGAACGAGGAAUGCCUAGUAAGCGCAGGUCAUUAGCCUGCGCUGAUUAAGUCCCUGCCCUUUGUACACACCGCCCGCCGCUCCUACCGAUUUCGAGUGGUCCGGUGAAUCUUUCGGACUGCGCGCGGCCUCGUGCCGUGUCGCGGAAAGUCAGGUAAACCUUAUCACUUAGAGGAAGGAGAAGUCGUAACA
rnacentral:rRNA from 1 species